AGGCUUCUGCGCGUGUUCAGUGGAUGCGAACGUCGAUAAAAUUGCAAGAAUUUAGCUUUUCUCGCAUUAUUUCAGCAACCGAAAUAGUAAAUAUACAAAUUGUAUACAAUACUGUUAGUGAAUGCCAGCCAAUUACAAAUGGCCGAAACCAUUGAAUCAAACAGAGUGAGCUUAAAGUAUAAAGCCCAUCAAGGGUGACCAAAAAAUGCACAGCGCAAUGAGACGUGCGAAAAAAUUUCCUAUAUUCACAAUUUAAUGCAAGCCCAACAAAAUUGGUGUGCGGUAAGCAAAUACGCUUCGUUGUGAAAUUAAAUCGCGUGUUUUUCGCCACAUAUUACGUAGCCAAAUGCGCAAAUACAUUAGAAUAUAAAGCAUAAAUUGUAUAAGCGCGGAGGCUAACGUCUGGCCAAUCCACACACAAGUGGAACGUGUAGAUGGGAAAAGCGCAGGGCAAGGGGUGUUGUUCUUGUCAAGAAAAAAAAAAAAACGCGCGGUCGCCGCUCCGCUGGGCGCUCCAUAGCCGUGCCUUCCUCAGUUGUGCAGCGAGCGUCCGUGCCGUCGGUUGUGGUGACUCUUCUCUCUCUCUCUCGCUCUGUGUAUAUUUGUUUGCGCGCGUAAAUACUGCUGCGUGUCCGCCCCGGUAGCUGCUGCUGUGAGCAGUAUCUCAAGAAGCGAUACCCAAUACAGUAACCACGACGCUGUACGGCAUGCAAAGUGCAUAAAUGCAAAAAGAUGAUGGAAACUUUGGAACAGCAACAAACAAAGAGCAGGCCUAACAAUGAGCUCCAUGUGGUCGAGACGGAAACGACACUGGCAGCCAGCGAAGAGGAUGACACAUCAGAAGAGAUCACCAAUCUGUACUACCUGGAAGAGAAGAAAAGGAAUACCUCUUCACGAAAGCUGAACCUAAAAAUUGCAGUCGAGCAGCUUGCUCGGCAUAGACCUCAAGAGAAUGGUCGAGACACUGAAGAGUCGGAGGAG